AGGGGGGGGGGGACCGUGUUAAUUGGAGAAAGUAGAGCCGUUGGAUUGAUUUAAUGAUCGGAUGGUAAGAGGGAAGACAACGUGGAUAGUUUGUCGUUUCCAUGUCGUUUUUUUGACAUUUUGGCUCUCUUUUUAGGUAGAGGUUUUAAAUGCACUACUACUAGUAGGAGACUAGGAGUAGUAUACUAGUCUACUACUUAAGUUACUUACUACAUUUUACUUUUUCUAAAGAAAAUUGAUUUCAACUAAUUUUCAUGUAAUAAGCUAAGGAAGCUUUUAACUACUCUAACACUUUACAUUGAGAAAAAAGCUAUAUGCAGUCCUAAAAGUUGUAUAUAAGAAGUUAAAUAUGAAAUAAGUUGCAUUAAUUGAUCAUUUAUUAUAAUGGUUGAUGCAAAAAUUUUCCAUAAAUUCACAACUUAUUUUCAUUUUAGGUAGUGUAUUUAUGUUUUAUAUGCAACCCUUACCCUAAGGGUUGCAUAUAGGCUAUAGCAUAACCCAAUGUAUCAGAUAUAAAAAAUUUAAGAAGAUAAAGGACAUUUAAGGUAUUUCAAGUAAAUUUCAAAGUACUCAAAAUUGCACCAAUUUUAUUUUGUUCACUAUUCACAUCUUACAUUUAGAUUAUCUUUGGUGAUUUAUAUAUUACAAAAAACGUAGUCAUGUGAGGUCUUGUUAGAUUUGUCUCGAUAUUUUUGAAAUCAUCAUGUUCCUAAUAAAUUUGACUAAUUUUUUAUUCAUUAUAAGACCUAUAUCAUAUGACUUUGAAAAUAAAAAAACUACAUUAAUACUAAACGGGCCCUAACUUAUUUGAUUUCUAAAGUUGGGAAAUGGAACCAGUUCAACAAAUAUCCAUCCUUUUUAAUGAAUACGAAAUCGAUAGAACUAGAAGUCUAGAACUAGUAUUGUAAAUUUUUGAUUGUAUUGGUUACAAAUCCAGGUACCAUAUUUUCUUCUCCUUCUAGUAAGGGGCAAGGGCUAUAUUUUAUUUUAUUUUAUUUUAUUUGGAUUAAAGUAACGCUAUAUUAUUUGACACAGUUUCUUAAGUUGGCGUUAUUCAUUGCACAGUAUAGUUAUACACAGUUGACAGUACUAUUACACGAAGCGCGUGUAAACUGUAACGUGACGAUGGCCGAUGGGAAAUAUGUUCUCAUCAACGGUAGCAGUUAUGCAUGACAAUUUGACAAUAGGUCAAUACCCGUUGUAAAAAAACAAAUAAAAGGAAACUCAAAGUUAUGCAUCACAAUAGCUAGUAGAAUACUGCAUUUUUUUAUUUUUUAUUUUUUAUUUUUGUUAAGAAGUGGCCUGGACUCACUCGAGUCUUAAUAGGUCAGACACUUGAGAGUUGAGAGUAAGAAGAAGGGGAAGGGGAAGGGGAAGGGGAAGGGAAAGGGGAAUCCCUACUCUCAAAGUACCUCUUGUGGAGACUGAACCCCCAACUUUGAGGUUAGAAGGGUGCUCUCCUUACCACUAUACCAAAUACCACUUGAUAGAAUACUGCAUACUUAUACUACAAAAAACAUACCUCUAGAAAAAUACUACAGAUAAUAUAUAUUGAAAAAAACAUAACAUCAUUGUCCAUAGUAUUAGAGGUGAGCAAAAAUAAUGGAUACCUGAUCAUGGAUUUCGAACCAUUUAGAAUCCGGACCUAGAACUUGUUUCACUAGGACCAGGUUUGGUUCUAAAAACAAGGACUCGGUUAUAACCGGUUCCUCGUGUCUCAAUUUUUGUGAUUCAGUACCCAUUAGGUAUCCGGUGGAACUGUUUUGGAGCUGGUACCUAGUAGGGAUAAUGGCAAUGGGGCGGGUCUAGGUCGGGUCCACCUGGACCCAGACCCAGACCCGUUGGGUCUACAUGGGUCCUUACUGGGUCCUAAAUGGGUCCUUCUUAGUUUUAAGUUUUCAUCACAUUUUUAAAUAUAUGUAAUUAAAAAUUUUCCCCCUAAUAUAUGUAGGUUCUUGUAUCCAUGGUUAAAGAAUUCUCUAAAUAAAAUUUUAAGAAUUAACUGAUAAAAUAUUAAAAUGUUACAACUUAUAAAGUUAAUGUCUCUCAUAAAAUUUUAGAGUUUAGGUAAAAAAAAAUUUCUAAUAUGUAAAUGGGUUCGCGGGGCGGGUCUGGGUCUAGCAUAUGUGGACCCAGACCUAGGGCUGGCAAAAACUGACCCAACCUGAUAACCCGACCUGAAAUUGACCUGAAAAUUCCGGGUUUGGGUUGAGAUUUUCGACCCGAAAAAAAAAUGGGUCGACCCAACCCGACCUGAAAAUAUAAUGGGCUAGGUUCAGGUUGAGGUUUUGAACCUGAAAACAACCCGAAAUGACCUGAAAUAAAAAUAACAUAAACUUUCUUAUAAUAUUGGGCCAAGCCCAAUAAGUCAAUAACCCUAAUAAGGCUAAGCGUUUUUUUACUUUUUACUCUGCCGCUGUGCAAUUACAAUCAAAGGCUGAAAAAUCAAAACCCUAGAGUAGAGAGAGACUUCUCUAAAAAAAACCCUAGAGAGUAGAAGAUUUGAAGUUCUUCGAAAUUCUUCGCCGUUCUGCUAAAUCUUCAAAGGCUAACAAUGGUUGACUCUCAUCGUGAGCGACCCAUUAAUGUUGGAGAUGAUUCGGAUUCUGAUAUCAGUGACAGUCAUGGCAAGUCAGAGAAGAAGAACAAAGCAACUACUGAGUGAAUUGAACUAUUUUAUAUUACUUUUUGCAAGAAAUAGUUAAAUCUUGAAUUUAUGUUUUUUAAUUUGAAGUUGGUGGCCAAUUUAUGGUUUUGAAUGUAGAAAGUUGAAACUUUAACUUUUACAUCUACAAGUGCUUUGCGAAUUAA